UACGUAGGGUGCGAGCGUUGUCCGGAAUUAUUGGGCGUAAAGAGCUUGUAGGCGGUUUGUCGCGUCUGCUGUGAAAAUCCGGGGCUCAACCCCGGACUUGCAGUGGGUACGGGCAGACUAGAGUGUGGUAGGGGAGACUGGAAUUCCUGGUGUAGCGGUGAAAUGCGCAGAUAUCAGGAGGAACACCGGUGCGGAAGGCGGUCUCUGGGCAUAACUGACGCUGAGGAGCGAAAGCUGGGGAGCGAACAGG
rnacentral:rRNA from 1 species